rnacentral:lncRNA from 1 species
CUGGAAGAGGAACUUGCAGGAUGCUGAAAAAAGACACUCUCUCUCUGGCUGGUGGGAAAUUCAGUCUUCCACAUAGAUCUCCAGGAGCUUUUAGCCUUUGGAGGAAACACUACAUUCAGAGGAACUAAAUGGACAUUUUCUAGACAGAUACUAAUGUGUGACAAUAAAUGCAUAGAAUAAAGAACGUAAGUAAUGGGCAAUUAUACAUGAUUUAACAAAAUGUGCUAUGUAGAAUAGAGCAAUGGUCAGUCAGAAAAAUGUCAGAUAGGAUUUGAAUAGUUUCAAGAAAUAUUCGAUUAUUUUGGGCAGUGCUGGGGAAUCUAAUUCAGGGCCUCACACAUGCUAAAGAAGCACUCUACUGCUGAGAUACAUCCCCAGUUCUUCAAGAAAUAUUUAUAAGGGUGUAUCCCCUUUAGCAGUAAUAGUGACUUUGUCUGAGGGGUUAAUUUAUUCUGUGAG